rnacentral:rRNA from 1 species
GUGGGGAAUAUUGGACAAUGGGCGAAAGCCUGAUCCAGCCAUGCCGCGUGUGUGAAGAAGGUCUUCGGAUUGUAAAGCACUUUAAGUUGGGAGGAAGGGCAGUAAGUUAAUACCUUGCUGUUUUGACGUUACCGACAGAAUAAGCACCGGCUAACUUCGUGCCAGCAGCCGCGGUAAUACGAAGGGUGCAAGCGUUAAUCGGAAUUACUGGGCGUAAAGCGCGCGUAGGUGGUUUUGUAAGUUGGAGGUGAAAUCCCCGGGCUCAACCUGGGAACUGCCUCCAAAACUGCAUGACUAGAGUACGGUAGAGGGGAGUGGAAUUUCCUGUGUAGCGGUGAAAUGCGUAGAUAUAGGAAGGAACACCAGUGGCGAAGGCGACUACCUGGACUGAUACUGACACUGAGGUGCGAAAGCGUGGGGAGCAAACAGGAUUAGAAACCCCUGUAGUCC